rnacentral:rRNA from 1 species
AGCAGUCGCCGCGGUAAUACGGAGGAUCCAAGCGUUAUCCGGAAUCAUUGGGUUUAAAGGGUCCGUAGGCGGUCUUGUAAGUCAGUGGUGAAAGCCCAUCGCUCAACGGUGGAACGGCCAUUGAUACUGCAGGACUUGAAUUAUUGGGAAGUAACUAGAAUAUGUAGUGUAGCGGUGAAAUGCUUAGAGAUUACAUGGAAUACCAAUUGCGAAGGCAGGUUACUACCAAUUGAUUGACGCUGAUGGACGAAAGCGUGGGUAGCGAACAGGAUUAGAGACCCCUGUAGUCCCUGUCUCUUAUAC